rnacentral:rRNA from 1 species
AUUGAACGCUGGCGGUAUGCCUAACACAUGCAAGUCGAACGAGGUAGCAAUACCUAGUGGCGGACGGGUGAGGAAUACGUAGGGAUCUGCCCUUAAGUGGGGAUAACCCGGGGAAACCCGGAUUAAUACCGCAUGAUCUCGCAAGAGCAAAGAGGGGGACCGCAAGGCCUCUCGCUUUUGGAGGAACCUACGUCGGAUUAGCUAGUUGGUGAGGUAAUGGCUCACCAAGGCGACGAUCCGUAACUGGUCUGAGAGGAUGAUCAGUCACACCGGAACUGAGACACGGUCCGGACUCCUACGGGAGGCAGCAGUGGGGAAUAUUGGACAAUGGGCGAAAGCCUGAUCCAGCAAUACCGCGUGUGUGAAGAAGGC